GCCCUGGUAGCUCAGUGGUUAAGUAUUUGGCUGCUAACCAAAAGGUUGGUGAUUCAAACCCACCUCUAGGGCA